GACGAAGGAUGCAAGCGUUAUCCGGAUUCAUUGGGUUUAAAGGGAGCGUAGGUGGUCUUAUAAGUCAGUGGUGAAAUCUCUGGGCUUAACCCAGAAAUUGCCAUUGAUACUGUAGGACUUGAGUAUAGUUGCCGUUGGCGGAAUAUGACAUGUAGUGGUGAAAUACAUAGAGAUGUCAUAGAACACCGAUUGCGAAGGCAGCUAACGAAACUAUAACUGACACUGAGGCUCGAAAGUGUCGGGGAGUCAAACAGGA
rnacentral:rRNA from 1 species